ACUUUUGACCUGAAUUUUGGUUUGAAACCUUCCAUCAGGAAUGUUUCGAUUAAAAGGGAAUCAGGUGAUUUGAAGUUAGAGGUUAGAAGUUAGAAGUUAGAAGUUAAAGGUUUUUUCUCUUCAAAUUCUGUUUUUCCUACUUCGUACUUCAAACUUCGUACUUCAAUUAAUCCUGAGCUGUUCCCGCAACUGUAAGCUUUGUCUCGAUUUUUUCGAGAUGUUUGUAAUUCUUCUUUAUGUCACUGAUGAUUUCCACGUUUUUUGGAACUAUCGGGAAGGCCUAUUACAAAACGCGAGCCAGGAGACCUGCCUUUAUUCACAUUGUCAA
rfam:Flavobacteriaceae bacterium CG2_30_34_30 cg2_3.0_scaffold_18_c, whole genome shotgun sequence.